UUGUCAGGCAAGACCUCAGAAUAAAAGUGUCACGCAACACAAGUACCCAUGUGACACCUCUUACUGUCAGUCUCCCUCAACUCCUAUGAAAAGGACAAGCCAUGAGGCUUCUAAUAGUGACCCGAGUUACUGCCCUGAUGACACAGACACAUCAACAAUGAUAGGCCCUCCCAGUCAACACCACUUCAUAAGAUUGACUGCUGCAGUGGUUCGAUAGGUGUCCAGUUUGCAGCCAAAGACCUCACCCUCCAGCCUCACCCCUUGCCUGCUCACCAACAGUCGACAUGGUAAAUGUCCAGUAAAACCCUUUUCAUAGCAAAACCCUUUUCAUUCCAUGUGUCACUGAUGAACUCUGCCUCAACUCUGCCUGUUUCUACAGAUGGACUGGAGCGUCGGUCGUUUGAUGGGGAGACCAUAAUUGAGUUUGUGUGUCAGAUAUCACCCACAUCCUAACUGCCGUUGGUAAUACAACUGUGACUGUGUGUGUGUUCACAGAAACAUCCAUGGAGACUUGCAAGAUGUUGUGAUGAAGUCCAGACGGACAUACAGGCUUGAUACUGAUGCCUCUGAAUAGACAGAGACCUGGCACUCAGCAUACAAAUUAUACUAGACAACUUUUUCUUGUAUUGUCUUUUUUUAUUAUUAUUGAAUGGUAUCAGUCAGUAUGGUGAGGGAGAAACCCUGUGUAUUCUGCACCAGGAUCUGGGAACUCCUGUUGUAUAUGGGAAACCACACAGGAAGGUAUGACCACUCUGACAUGUUUGCCAAGGUAGCCCCAUUACCAGCAGACAAAAACGCCGAUAGGCAACGUAUCUGUCACAGCUGGGAAUGACAAUGAAAGGUGCACAUUGUCAUAUUAGCAGAAGACUGCCUCUAUCGUAUUAUGUAAAGUGUUUAUUUAUUUAUUAUUAUUUAUUCUACAUGGACCUGCUACUUUGUUUGAAAGUUAUCAAAACACUUAGUUUGUUACUCAUCGUGUAUUCAUUCCUGGCGUUUCUAUAAUGUUCUUUCUGCGUUGUUGGGAAGGGCCCGUAAGUAAGAAUUUCACUGUUAGUCUACACCUGUUGUUUCCGAAGCGUGUGAUAUAACGAUUUGAUCUGCAGAAAUUCAGCAAUUG